UACGUAGGGUGCGAGCGUUGUCCGGAGUUACUGGGCGUAAAGAGCUUGUAGGUGGUUUGUCGCGUUGUUCGUGAAAUCUCACGGCUCAACUGUGAGCGUGCGGGCGAUACGGGCAGACUAGAGUACUGCAGGGGAGACUGGAAUUCCUGGUGUAGCGGUGGAAUGCGCAGAUAUCAGGAGGAACACCGGUGGCGAAGGCGGCUUUCUGGACACUUACUGACGCUGAGACGCGAAAGCGUGGGGAGCAAACAGG
rnacentral:rRNA from 1 species